rnacentral:rRNA from 1 species
ACUUGAGAAUGAAUUUAAGUUCAACUAAGAGCAUAAAUACCAUAAAAAGGAUAAACUAUACUCUUAUUAUAAUUAAUUGAGGUACAGCUCAAUUAAUAAAGGAAACAACCUAAAUAAAUGAAUAAAGAUUACAAUAUGUUUAAAACAGUAUUGUAGGCCCAAGAGCAGCCAUCGCCAAAAGCGUCAAAGCUUAACUCACAAACAUCCGCCAUUCCAAUAAACAAUCUAAAUUCACAAGACCAAUCAGGUAAAUCUACAAAAUAGAUAAAUUACUGCUAGGAUAAGUAACAAGGACUACCUCUAUAAUGUAUCUGUAUAUCAAAACGAACACGAACUGAUAAUUAACAAGCAUGUAUUAUCUUCUACUAGAACCUAAAAUACUAUAAAACGUUAACCCAACACCGGAACAUUAAAGAAAGAUAUUAGGUCUAAAAAGGAACUCGGCAAAAUUUAGAGCUUCGCCUGUUUACCAAAAACAUUGCCUCUUGUUAAACUAAUAUAAGAGGUACUGCCUGCCCAGUGACAUUUGUUCAACGGCCGCGGUAUCAUGACCGUGCAAANGUAGCGUAAUCACUUGCCCCUUAAAUAGGGACCAGUAUGAAUGGCAAAACGAAAGCCCAACUGUCUCCUUAGACUAGUCAGUGAAAUUGAUAUUUCCGUGCAGAAGCGGAAAUACUUGUAUAAGACGAAAAGACCCUAUGGAGCUUUAAACCAAACUAGCUAAGUCCUAUAAAACUAAAACAAAAAGCCUAGCACCAGGUUUUAGGUUGGGGCGACCACGGGGCCAAGAAAAACCCCCGAGAUAAUAAGCUGAGAUGGACACUUCAAAGCAAUAAUAUAACUGAUAUAAUUGACCCAAUUAUUGAUCAACGAACCAAGUUACCCUAGGGAUAACAGCGCAAUCCUCUCACAGAGUCCCUAUUAACGAGCGGGUUUACGACCUCGAUGUUGGAUCAGGACUCCCAAAUGGUGCAGUAGCUAUUAAAGGUUCGUUUGUUCAACGAUUAAAGUCCU